rnacentral:lncRNA from 1 species
UAACAUGUAUACACACACAUAAACAUUGGGUGUUUCUGAUUGAGCACUGCAGGAAUAUAUGUGGGGGACGACAUGGUGAUUCAUCUCCGGGGAGCAGCCAAGAAACUUGGGGAGCUACCUGCAUGCCAUAAAUGUGGAGACAAGCGAGUCGAAAAUGGUGAAAUAGCAAAAGUAUGCAUAGAUUGUUUCAUUGAUGGUGACACGCUCCAGAUCUAUGACUAUGGAGUUACCUAUCCAGAAUUCUCUAAAAGAAAACGUGGUACUUGCUGCCCACGCUAUUCCAGGCCUCCCGAUUUAGUUAUUAGCGCCGCAACUGAUUUCCUUGAACGGAAUGGUUUUGGCCCCUACGACAUGUUUACUAACAACUGUGAGCACUUCGCUGUGUGUUGCAAAACAGGCUCUGCCGACAGUUACCAGAUUGAAGGCCAUAUUGAAGGAGUUAUUCAUACUGGUCCCUUUGCUAUGGUUGGUGCCUCUGUUUUUGUGGCAGCUUAUAGUAUUUCGAAAGGCAUUAGCCAAAAAUCAAGCUCCUGGUAACUUCUGCCUGCAACUCAUUCACGGGACUUCAAUUACAUCUUACUUAUAAGUAUGAACCAUGUUAAGAAGAUCUCAUAUCCCAAUAAACUUAGAAGUCAAAGCCAACUAGUGCUGAUAUUCACCUAUAUGCAAAUAUGAAUUAUUUAUCAUCUUUUUUUUUUUAUAAAUACUAAAAAUUUUAUGAGGGUAGAAAUUGCAUAUUUGAUAUAUAAGUGUGUGUUUGAAAACAAUAUAAAAUAAAUAAUAAAAUAUAUGAUUUGAAAUUAAUAAUAACAAUACAUAAGCAAAAUGCACAAAAUUAAAAUGAAAAAUUAAUUUAAAUUGUGAGUAAAAAAAUUUAAAUAGAUAAAUACAUCAUAUUAAGAAUAUUGGUAUUGUUAUUUUUCUAUGGCACUUAAAAUGUUAUCGUGUUAAUAUGUUAUCAAAAUGUUAUCAUAUUGGUGAAAGGAAAAUUCAAUAUUAAAUUUUUGUUUUUGAAAAGAUACAAUAUUGAGUUGAUCCGUGACAUUAACUCAAUCAACCAUAUUAUCUAUACUAGAAAUCUUAUUAUAUGUGUAUACGUGCGUGAAAAUCACGUAUUUAGAAUACAAAUUUGUGUUUAAAAAUAACACACAAUAUAGUUAAUGAAAAAUAUGAUUUGGAAUUAAUUAAUAAUAACGCAUGCCUUAUGUACAAUACUAAAAUAAAAAAAUAGAUUAAAUUAUGAGUAAAACGAAAUUUAAAUCACAUCAUAUUAAGAAUACUAAAUGAAUACAAUUGUUUAUCAUUGUUUUGUCAUCAAUCCUGAAUUGAUUUUGUGUUUGUUAACUCGAUUGAUCAACUCAAAAUCUCCAAGACGGAAGGAGAAUUGACCUUUAAGAAAAAUGAUGGAAGCAAUAAAAGAAAAUGAAACAAUGAACAUAAGAAUUUAUAGUGAUUCGGCCCCAAUUGACUACUUCAUUACCUUAGCUUUCUACAACUAAGGAUUUUCCUAAAUUUACUAAUUUGAUAACCUUUGAGGACAAUAUUUAACCUUACAAUAGUCCUUAAGUUUUCUACCAAAAAUCUUAAUAUUGCAACUCUCUUAAGGUUUCUAUCCAAACCUUAAGAUUCAACCAUCUCAAAAAGAUACAACUAAGCAAACAAAGAAAUAAUCUUUACAAUAUCAGAAUGUUUGCCAAUUAAGCUCAAAUAAACAAGAAUACACUUGAGCUAAAGAAUAACAAUGAAAGCUCAAAAGUGUGCAUAAGAAAAAUAUGAAAAAAUUAAACACUAAGGUUAUUUUGAUUGAUAUUUAAGCUUGAAGAUCUCUCUCUUUAUUGUAGGACAUUUGAAAGAUGGUAUUUAUGCCCUCUAAUUCAUUUUCAACCAUUGUGGUUGUUGUGAAAGUUAAUAGAGCCAUUGGAAUGAAAAUACUAGAUCAUUAAAUUCACCUACAACAAAAGGUAUUGAUACUUUUUCUAUGAGUAUUGAUACUAUUAGCAUUUAAUGCCCGAUUCAGUGACCGUUAAAGUUAGUUAAUUUACAUCGAUACCAAAAAUAAUUUAUCGAUACUUGGUAAAAGGUAUUUAUAUUUUUUGUAAUUGAUUGAAAAUAAAAUGUCAAAUUGGUAUCGAUUUUAUUAAGGGUAUCGCGAUAUUUUGAUGCUGACUUGUUUUGAAACAGUUUUAACUUGAUUGAAAAUGUUUAACUCAAUUGAAACCAUUUUAACUUGAUUUUAUCAUUUUGCUAAUUUUGUUCAACUUUAACUUUUAUUCAAAAAUAUUUUAACUUGUUAUAUCGAAACAUAUUAUCAAAUAAAGUUAGGUGUAACCAUGUUCAUUUGUGAUACUAACUCAAUCGACAAAAUUAUUCAUAUACACAAAUAUAUAAAAAUUCAAAACACAAAUAGACUUAUUAAAGUUUCAAAAUAAAAACUAAUAAUUACUUUAAUUCAAAUGGUAAAUGAAAAAGUUUUAUAUGCAUGGUGCCAUUGGUUAAAAGCUCAUCAUGGAUAAAUUUUUAUUGAUCUAUAAAAAUAUGAAAAGACAAAAGCAUCCAUAUAAUUUUACAAAUAAAAUGAAUUUUUUGGGAAUUCCUUAACUGAGUUGAGACUUGGGUGACGCUAACUCAAUAAAAUGCUUAAUAAAUAGUAUAGAUACAUAAAACACGAAGUGGGUGGAAAAAAAUUAUGUAAAAGAAUUAUUUAAGACCAUAAUGAAGCUCUGUUUCGCUAGUUGUAACUCUACGUUUUGUUUCCGACAAUCUUAAAAUUCGAACUUUAAGUUCUCAUAAACUUAAUCCAUAUCCUACAACACUUAAUUAUUUAUCAAAUAUUAAAAUCAUAUAAAAAUCGAGCAUAAUUAAAAAAAAAACGCAAAUGAGAAAACUAAGAUGCAACAUUUCACUAAAGAACCAAACGAAAUAUUAAAUAUAAAGGCCGAAAUAUGAGCACUUAUUACAUAUGAAGAUGUUUCUCCAUUUGUUACUACCGAGAGUUACUUUGAAUUUUUUGUUAGGAGAGAGUGAGUAGAGCUUAAGGGGAGCUGGAACUUAAUGUCAAUGAUGCAAGUACUACCUUCAUUACUUGAGAAAACUGACUUCAUGUUUUUGGUCAAAAAUGCUGAAGAAGAGAAUUGUCAAUGACUCGGAAGUUGCAUGCAAAUUCCAUUACUACAAAAUUUUCCUACUAAAAUUUUUUUUGAAAGGAAAUUUACAAUUUUUAGACGACUUUUUAGGUCAUUGAUUAGGCUAAUAAGAAAAUAUUCAUGACAGUCGGUGGCGUGCGUUUGGAAACUUUGUCUAAGGACUGCUUUGACUCUCCAUAUAAUUAUUUCUAGAUAUGUGUACUUGUAACGACUUGCAAUAGUAAUAUUAAUAAGUGAUGAAUCUCAAAAUUAUAUAUAAAUUUUAAUUUAAUCUAUAAUUAUAUACAUGAACUUUAAUUUAGUGUAAUUAUACACGUGAAAUUCUUUUUUUUAAAGGUAAAUUCAUUAAUUCAUUAAAUGAAUGAAACUAUACAAUUUAGGGGAAAAAAAUAACAAACACUCAUCGUAGAUAGUGAAAGACAAGCUCCAUCAACACAACAAAAUAUUUAGCCUCAAUACCAAUAGAACAUCAUCAUGACACGUUGACAAUUAGCUUUGUCAUAACUCAAGUACGACAUAUUUGGAGUGCUUGCAAACACUUAAUACAAUAAGGAAAUCAACCCUGAAUGAUCCAAAGCGGCGAGCAAAAAUCGACAAAAGAAUCGAGCAUUCACCAAACUAGAGAGGAUGACAACAGAACCAUCCCUAAAAUCACUUGUAAAACUAAUGUUACAUGCAUAAGACUAAAAAAUGUUCUAUAAGAGCAGAUAAAAACUUCUAAAACUGAAAAUUUAUUAAACAAUGAAAAACAAACAAACAAAAACAUAUAAAAUUUAAGAUAACACAAGUCCAAAUCAACUCAUGAAAUAAUUUAUUAUUAUGAAAAACUAUUGAUGGCCAGUGGAGUUUUAGUGAACGACAGAUGUCGUCAUCUGUCCGCCACAACUUGUAAAAACAACAAAAAUACCCACAAAAUAAAUCUGCAAACUGAAAAGAGAGAAUACAUGUAGAGUGAAUGAGAAAAAGAAAGAAAGAAAGAACUGGUGGGAGAGAGAAAAAGGCAGGGGAUAGCCAAUCUCACUGGGCAAAACAAAAUAUAAGAAGCAAACGGCUUGAAAAAAAAACUAUACACGCGAAACUCUAAUUAUUGUUCAAAUAUAUACUUAAAACUUUAAUUUUGUUUUAAUCCUGCACAUUUAAAGAAAUAAAUACAUCAAUUUAUUUUUAUAUUGGACAACUAUAAUUAUUUAUAUACGUAUUAUAUAAACAUAAAAUAAUAUUAUAUCAAUAAUUAUGUUAAUAAUUUAUAAGAAUUAAAUUAAAUAAAAAAUUACACAAAAUCAAAAUUCAUAUACAUAAUUGCACAUUAAAUCAUAUUUAAUGUAACUUUAAAAAAAAAAAUUCACAUUGAAUCGGAAUAAUAAUAGUCAUACAAUGUGUGGUUGAAAAUCCAGUUUGAUUUUGUUGAAACUAUAAACUCGUUAUCCCAUCAUCAAGUAAUUUAAAAGAAAAAAAAAUUCAAAAAAAGAAAUUAUAAUCCAGUUUAAUUGUUAUUGACGUUGUAAAGAAAGCGAGGAAAAAGAAAAAGAAAAAAGAAAGCUGGAAAUUGUAAAGAAACACGAAGCCAAGCAAUGGAACUGGGUAACCAAAAAUAACAUUAAAAAAGAUGAAAAAGAACGGAAGGUUGGAAACGCAAAAAGUCAGAAAAAAAAAAUAAAAACCAAAAACUUUUAUCCUUCCAAAAUAUUAUUUUUACAUAUGAUUUGCUAAUGAAUUAAUUUAAUUAAUAGUAUUUAAUUACUUUUAUGACAUAUUUAGAAAAUAAUAUUUCUUUUUGCUUACUUUGAAAAAAAUAUAUUUUUACGGGAGCUUUUCUUUAUAUUUUUAAUUUUAAAUUUAACGUUAAUUAAGUUUUAGCUCGAUUGACAGGAAUAUUGUUAUCAAUGUAGGAGGACGUAGGGGUUAUGAAUAGUUCUAAACAUUAUUCUAAAAAGAGCAUACAUAAUCAGAGCAGUUUUUUCUUUCAAAAAGUGGAUGUAAGAUAGGGCGAGAUGAAGCGAGAUGAAUUUUUUCUUUUGGAUGGUGACUAUAGAGCGGUUAUGGUAAUUACCUACCCCUAUCCGACCCGCUCCAUUAUAUGAAUUUAUCAUUUUAUUGUUGUAUAUGUAAACUAUUAAAAGAGUAAAAAUGUGAUAAAGAUAUAUAGAAAAAAUACAUACAAUUUGUGUUUAAUUUUUUUAAAAUUAUGUUUAAAUAUUUACUUGACUAGAUUGAAAAUAUAAAUUUCUUCAGCACUCCAACGUUUACUUGAGAAUUUAGGGGCCUUACAUAUCAUCUUUCUUCUUCAAUAAAAAAGGAAUCUUCUUCAAAUAAAAAAGGAAGACUUAAUAAUUUUUCCUCCAAAUUUGAAGUAUAAGAUAUAACUUAAUUUCCAUAAAUUUUGAAUAUUUGAAAUUUCUAAUUUUAAUUUGGCUCCCAAGAAUAAUAUCCAAGCUCCGCCACUAAUCAUCCCCAUUUCUCCGUUCACCAGCGCCGUCACAUCACUGCACCACCUUCACCAUUGCACAACCUGCUUUAACCACCAUAUAGCCUGAAACCCACAUCACCCAAAGCCCUCGUACCCACGUCAACAGUUUCCAGUGCUAUAAUAUAUGUCUCGUGGAAGAGAACCUUUUAGCCUUGUGGGACCCAAACACCUUACCACCAUUGAUUGGAACGACGACAGCCAUCGAAGGUCCGUAUCAGCCAGCUUGGUCAAGGGUGUUUCCGAGCGGGAACGUGACCGACAAGUGGAAUUACGUGGAGGCUCUGAGACACUUGCGCCACAAUGGUGGGAGUUUUUCAACUUCAAGUUAGUGAAUGUGCUCGUCGAUGAGGAUGAUGAAAGCAUCUUCGGUGCCAUUUUUGAAUAUGUAUUUCCUUCGGCAACUAAUCCAGGCCCUGGAUACGUAAUCGCCUUUCGAGGUACCCUAUUGAAACGAGAAACUUGGAAAAGGGAUAUUGAGUCGGAUUUCGCAAUAAUCCUAAAUACACUUCAUCAAACUAGUCGUGUUCGGACCGCCAUGAAAUAUGUUGAAGAUAGGGUGUCAAAGGCUGGUUCUUCAAAGGUGUGGUUAACUGGUCAUUCCCUAGGGGCAGCCAUCGCAAUGCUUGCUGGAAAGAAUAUGGCGAAAAGAGGCAAAUUCUUGGAAAGUUUUUUGUUUAAUCCGCCAUAUGCAUCUUUCCCAAUUGAGACAAUCUUCAAAGACAAUAAGAAUGUGAUACGUGGAUCACUGUUAUCAAAGGCGGCGUUGCCCUUGCUUUGGGAUAUAGUGGUGAUGAAGAUUCAUUUGCUGCAAUAUCAGGGUGGAAGCCAUGUUUGUUUGUGAAUGGUAGAGACUUCAUAUGUCAUGGAUAUAUUGAACAUUUCAAGAAGAGAAGAAAGAGCCACGACUUUGGAGUUUGGGGACUAGUAAGCCAUCAUUCACUAAGAAAUAUAGUGACGAAAGAACUGAAAAUAAUGGAUGUUGAAAUUUCGGAGCCGCUUCAUUUGCUUCCUUCGGCAAAUCUUAUAGAGAAUCUCAGCCCUCCCGAAGAAAGCAUUUCACCUCAUAAACUUCGUCAUUGGUGGAAGCCUGACCUGAACUUGCGUUGUACUGUUUAUAACUACGAAUAGUUUGUCGCUUUCAUGGCUGCUGCUUCACUGCCUUCUUGGUAAUAUAUUGAUAUUACCACGGGGUAUAUAUCAUUACCAGCUCUGCAAAAAAGUUAACAAUAAAUUGAGGCUUUGUUUGAGCCUUAGUGUGUGCUUACAUUUGCUUGGUUUGUAAUAAAUCCCAAAUAAUUUCAUAGAAUUUGAGGCUUUGUUCGAGCCUUAGGGUGCCUUGCACUUGCUUGGUUUGUAAUAUGAUUGUACAAUAUUAAUGGAAAUAGUGAUGAAAAUCCUUUUCAAUAUAUACUAUUUGAUUCAAAAUUCCGUUUAAAUUCACAUUGUCCUGAUUCUUAUAAUAGAAACAAUCAUACCUCAGUCAACAUCUGCUUAAUUAUUUAUAUAUUAAAAUUUAAAAUAAAAUAAGAAAAAUUAUGUUUAUAUUUUAUAUUUUUUACAAUUAAUUUUAAAUAAUUUAUAAAAAUUAUUGCUUUAGCUUAAAUCAAUUGCUACCACUGCUCUUGCAACAAUUAGGAAUGUAUGAAUUCGAGUGUACUUAAGUGCUUAUUAUCCUCUCAUUUAUGAGUGCUCGGAGUUCUUGAUUUAAGUGUUGUAAAAUUUCUUGAAAAUUUAAAGUGUUUAACCCUGUGAUUUACUCAUUACAAUAUGGUUCCUAUCACGCUUCACGUUGGGAUAAAUUAAUUUUUGGAGCAAAUUAUGGAGUAAAAAUUUAAAAGUCAAAAUAUGCUCUAAGUGCUUAUACUCUUCAUACAUUUUCAAUUUAAUCUCAAUACUUUUAUUUUUUGGAAUUUAGUGCCUUUUCAACCUGUGAAGCAAAAUAUAUAGUCGCUACAGUGUGCACUUCUCAAGCAAUUUGGUUGAAGAAUAUUUUGAGCGAACUAAAUCUGAUUGCAAUUUAUGUUGAUAACAAGUCCACAAUAUCUCUAGCAAAGAAUUCUGUGUCUCAUAGUCGAAGUAAGCAUAUUGAUACAAAGUAUCAUGUUAUUCAAGAGUAAGUGAAGAAUAAAAAAAAUAGAAUUAGUCUACUGCAAGACGGAAGAUCAAUUGGCAGAUUUUUUUUAUGAAGCCAUUGAAAGUAAAUGUAAUCCACAAACUUAAAGAAAACUUAGAAUGAAUAGUUCAAUUUGAAUAAAAUAAGAAAGCUAUUUGGUGGAAAUGAAAUAAGUACGUAAUAACUAACAUAUGUAGUUUGGUUGAUUGAAUAGAAUAAAUCAAUAUUAGUAUUACAUUGUUGGGUUAGAAAAAAAAAAUUAUGCAAAGAAAAGCUUAAAAUGAAAAUUUUAUCCUUAGAUAUAAUUUUUAUUUAUUUAUAUUAUUGAUAUCUUAUAAAAAUUAAAUAUUAAUCAUAAUAAGAUAGAAAAUAUUUAAUAAUAUAUAUUAAAAUAAUAUUUUAUUUUUAAUUAAAAGAAAAAUAUUAAAUGCAAAUAAUAUUUUUUGGUAUCAUAGUUAGUAGUUAGUAUUAUGUCAAAAUAUGAUAUAAUACUCCAUAUUGUUAAUUGGAAAUAAUAUUAGAAAUGUUUUCAUUUUUUCCAUGUUAGUUUUUAAAAUUAUAUGAGGCAUUUUUUUAAAUUUCAAUCUUGUUUUUUUCUCUUCAACCCAUUUUAUCUGUAAGAUGUCUUUACUCCCUCUACAAAAUUCAUCUUCUCUAUCUAAAUUUACAACUUUCUGCCAUAUUUGCUUCCAUCAACCGAGUGAUUUCCGUCGUCCAUUACCGUGUCCUUAUUAAGUAAAUACUUUGAUUUCUUUAUUUUUUUUUCACGUUUUUAUCCUUUCCAGAUUUCUUCACCAAACUUUCUUCGACUUUUCUUGGUUCAAGUGUAUUAUUUUUCUAUUUAAAGGUUAAGGAAAUGUUAUAAAUAAUUUUAGGCAUUAUAUAAAAAAGAGUAAAUACAAUAAGAACUUUUUAUGAGAUUAAUAUUAAAAAAGAAUUAUAAUAUUUUAAUAGCUCUUAAUAAAAUUUCAUUAAAACUCUAAAAUAAUGAUAAAAUUAUACUUUAACCCUUUUAAAAAGUUUAUAAUUUAACUUUUAUCUUAAAAUAAAUUUUUUAUUUCAUCCUUGCUUACAUUCAUGUCGAGUAACAUAGGGAUGAUCAUAAAAAAUGUCUCCAUAUUUAAAUAAUUCGGAGCAUAAGGGGUUUUUGUCGUUUGAGGAUAGAAUAAAGCAUACCCUUUGAAAUAAUAGAUAACCUUUAUCAAAAUAUUAUUUAUAUUUUCUCUUUUCAACGUUUUAUAUUUUUACUUUUAAACCUAAAUAAUUACCAUUUUAAGUCAUUAUUUACUUCAUCUUUAAGUGUUGAUAAUAUUAUCAAAAUUAAUUUUACAAGUAUAUGAUAUCGCAAAUUCAACAUAAUCAAUUAUUUAAAGUAAUAACGUAAAUAACUCUACAUAAACCUACAAAUAAAUCAUUUUUUAAAAAAAAAUGCAAAUAAUUUAGGUUUUAAUUUCAAAAAAUGACUAUUAAUAAUGUUUUGUUUAAAUUAAGUUUAUGUUAUUUUAUAAAAAAUUAAUUAUUUUAAAUUAAAUAAAACUUAUUUUCUUUCUAGUGAACAAUGGAUAAAUACUGAAUCGACCUGCAUAAGUUAACUCCAUUAAAUACAUUAUUUAAAUUUUUUUAUAAGAAUUUAUAUUAGAUUUGUAAUUUUGUUUGUAAAGUUAAAAAGCUUAAGUGACAAUGGAUAGGAGCAAACAAAUAAAAUAGUUUGUAAGAAAAUCAAUGAUGGAUUUCAAUCGGCUUGAAAAUAGUUUAAUUUUGUUCUCAGUACACGUACUCUUCAAACUUUUAUAAUUUAAUUUUCUGCUUUUAAUUUUAGGAAUUUAACUCCAAUUUAAAAAUUAAAAUUUAAUUCGUAACACUUUUAUUUGAUUUAUAUCAAUUUUGAAUAGGUGGCAUUUUAAUAUCCAAAGGUUUGGUUUAAAAAUUAAAGUUCAAUAAUAACAAUUUAUAAUGUUACCGGUUGAACUUUAAUUUUUAAAUCAAACAAGUAGAGAGGCAAAAUUCUUAAGAUUAAAAGCAAGAGAUUAAAUUCUAUAAAUUAAAAGUACUGGGACUAAUGAUUAAUUGUACCUUUUUCGUAGCCAGAAUGUCCCUUAAUCGUAAUUUAAUAGCACAAUAAAUCACUACAAUCACACUCACAAAAUAUGCAUAAUAAUACCAUAAAGAACACAAGAAUUUUAACGAGGUUCAGCAAAUUUUGCCUACGUCCUCGAGCACUACCAAAUAUAUUUCACUCCAAAAUACAAGUGAAAAUUUACAAAGAGAGAGAGAGAGAACAAUGCCUUAAGUAGAGAAUGGCAAAUAUAGGAUACUAUGAAUGAGAGAUGGUUAGGUCUAUUUAAAGUUGAGGUUCAGGGAUCAACUUGCAAAGUCACUAUACAAUUAGAGACCAAAUAUUGCAAAUAUCUCAGAUUUCUUAUGCCAAUAUUUCGAUACCCAUAUCUUUGACUUUCUAAUAGUUGAUACCCAUAUCUUUGACUUUCCAUAAUAUGGAUGAUUGCCAAUAGUUUGAAAGGACUAUUUCAAAAUUCCGUAGAAUAAUUUUAUUAUAGAUUUUGAUCAUAUCUACAUCUUUUGACAAAAUGUUUAGAAUUACUCAUAGCCCUUACUCAACCCAUAAAUAAGAGGAUAAUGCGAUUGAAUUACACUCCAACCUACGUCCUCCUGCAUUGACAACAAUACUUAUACCAAUUGAAUUAAUACUCAAUUGACCUUUAUUCAUAAAAUUAAAAUAACAAAAAAAUGCAAAUAAAUCAAAGGAAAAGUAUAUAUGCCAAAGAUAACAUAGCGCAAGCCUUCCACACGACAUUUCUACAUCGUCAUAUGCCCCAUGUCAUAUUAUAUUCUUUAAAUUUCCGCUCUUCAUAAAAAGUAAUUUUCUUCUCACUCAUCCAAUAUUAUCGAAGAUUAGUAAAUGUAAAAUUUCCAAGUUAAAUUCAAUUUCUUCAUGUAAUAUAUGAAAUUAAUUUACAAAUUUAGAUUUAAUUUUCAGCAUUUAUAAUAUAUAUUUUAAAUUUUCAACACAGACUUGCAUAUAGAAAAUAAAUAAAUGUAUCGAUGAUUUAUAAUUAAUUAUUCUCUCAUUUAUUUUCUAAUAUUCUUCGAGGUUGAUAUCAUGCGCAUAAAUUUUGGUCCUAUGGUUUCAAAAAGGAAAAAAAGUUUUAGAUAAACAAUAGAUAACUCAUCUAUUCUUUAUGUAUGCUUUAAAAAAAAGUUGUAUAUAUACAUGAUAAUAAUUGAUACAUUAAUUGAUGUUAUGAGUUAACUGGACAUCAAUUCAGUUACAAAAAAAAUAAAAAAUAAUUUUUUUUGAAAAACAAUAAAUUUUAUUAUAAGAAUAUUUAUGUUUUCCAUAUUUUAUAAAGAAAAUUUAAAAUUAAAUAAUUUAAAUCACGAGGAAGGAUUGUAUAAAACUGUAGAUUUUUAGCUCUUUCUUCCUGAAAAAAAUCAAAUACAACUAAAAAUGCAAAUAUUACUAAAAAAAGGAAAAAAACAAAACAACAUAGCAAAUAUUACUAAGCAGACAAAAACAACUUCAACAAUAGAUUUCCCCGUUGUACUCUGCUGCAGAAAACAACAGACCAGCCCAGCAUCAUUCACUCUGCUUCAACAGCAACUCACCAUGCAGCUUUAAAGAAGUUUUUCCUUGACAUGCUUACCUUUGCUAAAGUUUCCACCAUUCUAUUCUUUUUAUGAUUAGCGACUGCAAACUGGAUUUCAGCAAUAUGUCUACAUCCAUCUUCAAUUUCCGCAAACAACUUCCUUAGCGAUCAUGGACGAAGAUUUCUAUAUUUCAACCAAUUCAAUUAGCUUAUUUGACUUGUAUUUAAGAUAUAAUGAAACUACUUGAUUUCAAGUUAAAUUAAUUACAUAUGAAAUAUUAUUAAUUACAUAAAAUUAUAACAUCUUAACUUGUUUGCAUAAAACAACCAUGUCAAUAAAGUUUCAUCUACAUCUAUAGGAUAAAUUUUGAUCAUAAAUCAACUAUAACUUUACAAUAUCUUAAAUUUGAUUCCUUUGAACAAUGUUGUCCAGAAAGCAUAAGAACCUCCUUUUCCAAAGUAUCUUACAAAAUAGGACUACUUUAUUAGGAUAAAUAAUGAAAUUUUCAAGAUAUUCUUUAAAUCACUCAAUCCAAUUUCCAUAAAAUAGGAAAUUCGAUUUGCAUGAUGAAUUGAAAUUCGAUCAUUUAUGAUUUGUUCCUCCGUUAGAUUAAUCUUCUAAGAUGUGCCAUGAAAGCUUCCAAUAGAUUUAGCUAAAAUGAUUAUCAGUUCUAAACAUGAUAAAUAAUUGUUUCAGCCUAGCUACAACAUAAAUUGAAACUGCUCUUGUAGCUGAAACCAUAAUUUCUCCAACAGAGGUUUCAUCUGCACCACAUUUAUAGAGCAAAAUUUAUGAUUAAACAACUAUAUUUUCCAAAUAAUUUAAAUUUAUUUCAAAUCUAUCCGUAAAAGAGCUAAAGGGUAUAGGCAGUAUGGGGUUUAAUGCAACUAAAAUCAUGUCAAGCAUUUACAUUGGUAUGUAAACUGGCACCAUUGAAGGAACGUUUGAUUCCUUUGAACAAUAUUGUCUAGCAAGCAUCAGAACCUCCUUUCCAAAAGAAUUAUAUGUUUUCUCUUUAUUAAAUUUGAUUCUCGAUUUUUUGUUGCUUCUUCUAAUCACAUCUACUAUAAAUUUGCCUUAGUUUAUUGCUAAAAACACAACUUAAAACAAAAGAUUUUAACUAGAAAUCAUAAAUGGGACAGCCACAAAGCAAACCAAGGUUUCCUCAACCAGGGGAUCACAUCUACUGUCAAAGAAAGGGAGGUCUCUAUGAUCACCAUGGUUUGCUUCUAUUUCUUUUCAAUUUUUUAUCCAUAUACCCAGAAGAUCAUAACAUGUAUACACACACAUAAACAUUGGGUGUUUCUGAUUGAGCACUGCAGGAAUAUAUGUGGGGGACGGCAUGGUGAUUCAUCUCCGGGGAGCAGCCAAGAAACUUGGGGAGCUACCUGGAUGCCAUAAAUGUGGAGACAAGCGAGUCGAAAAUGGUGAAAUAGCAAAAGUAUGCAUAGAUUGUUUCCUUGAUGGUGGAACGCUCCAGAUUUUUGACUAUGGAGUUCCCCUUUUAGAAUUCAUUGCAAGAAAACGUGGU